rnacentral:lncRNA from 1 species
UUAAUGCACCAAUUCGUUAAGCAAAUAUUCUAGGACAAUUAAGAAAACAACUAUGACACACACAAUGUUGUGGGAGAAGGGUUGUCGAGGAGAAAUGCUCCGAUUAUACUUUAAAUUGUGGCCAAAGUGUCGCCCCACAGACUCACUAUUACAGCAAUAUGAUUAUGAUAUAAUUAUAUGUCCUCAGGGGGUCGUAGUUCCCCCAUGUUGGACUUUGCCCAAGGGGUAGUAGAUCCCCGAGAUGGGCAUCCUAAAUGUCCAAGGGGUAGUAGAUCCCCGUGAUGGUCAUUGCUUACUUUAAUGUCCAAGGGGUAGUAGAUCCCCGUGAUGGUCAUUGUUUACUUUAAUGUCCAAGGGGUAGUAGAUCCCCGUGAUGGUCAUUGUUUACUUUACAAUACACUGUAUAAUACAUUGAUUUGUGUGAGUCUAUGGGGUUGAGGGUGACCUUUGGGAGCACUCCAUCCCCAAACAACCAAAUAUUUUUAUUUUUACAACCAGACUUGCAAAGUCAAUUCCAAUACUGUAUAUUACAAAAUAUAGAUGUGCCUGUAAUAACAUAUCAACCAGUAAACUACUCCAUAAUACUUUAUCUAUAACACUACAUGAAUUGCAUUUCAUGUGAAUCUUGAUCACGGAUUGCAUAUCAAAACAAUAUUUUCCAGAUCUUUAUUUAUUAUGUGAUACAAGUUAUGAUAUAGUGGUGCAAAAUCCUUGAAGGGUGGGAUGGGUGGUAAUUUUGAAGUACUUUGCCACAGAGAUCAUACAAUUUUGCUUGCAAGUGACACAAUGAGGCUUACUGAUCCAAGCAGGAAACUAUGCAGACGAAGAGGUGAAACCUGAUUGGUCUAUUUUCCCGCACGCAUGGGAAGAGAUUUGACAAUGGUUUGUUGUUAAUUCAGCCUUGCGCUUUGCACGUGUAUGAUCACAUGAUUCACAGAUUGACCUUUGUACCAGACCUUUGUACUCCAGGAAACUUUGCACAACUUUACUCUUGUCCUAACCUUGUUUCAUUAACUUAAGUUUAUAAUGCUAUGGGCAUGUAUAAACUUGCUUUAAUGCACCAAUUCGUUAAGCAAAUAUUCUAAGACAACUAAGAAAACAACUAUGACACACACAAUGUUGUGGGAGAAGGGUUGUCAAGGAGAAAUGCUCCGAUUAUACUUUAAACUGUGGCCAAAGUGUCGCCCCACAGACUCACUAUUACAGCAAUAUGAUUAUGAUAUAAUUGUAUGUCCUCAGGGGGUUGUAGUUCCCCCAUGUUGGACUUUACCCAAGGGGUAGUAGAUGCCCGUGAUGGUCAUUGUUUACUUUAAUGUCCAAGGGGUAGUAGAUCCCCGUGAUGGUCAUUGUUUACUUUACAAUACAGUGUAUAAUACAUUGAUUUGUGUGAGUCUAUGGGGUUGAGGGUGACCUUUGGGAGCACUCCAUUCCCACAAAUACACAGCAUGUGUAUUCCCCAUAGACG